UACAGAGGUCCCAAGCGUUGUUCGGAUUCACUGGGCGUAAAGGGUGCGUAGGUGGCAAGGUAAGUCUGAUGUGAAAUCUCCGGGCUCAACCCGGAAAUGGCAUUGGAUACUAUCUAGCUGGAGGGUUGGAGGGGGGACUGGAAUUCUCGGUGUAGCAGUGAAAUGCGUAGAUAUCGAGAGGAACACCCGUGGCGAAGGCGGGUCCCUGGACAACACCUGACACUGAGGCACGAAAGCUAGGGGAGCAAACGGG
rnacentral:rRNA from 1 species